rnacentral:rRNA from 1 species
CCUUUGCUCUGGAAUAGCCCUGGGAAACUGGGGGUAAUACCGGAUGUGCCCUGAGGGGGAAAGAUUUAUCGGCAAGGGAUCGGCCCGCGUCUGAUUAGGUAGUUGGUGAGGUAACGGCUCACCAAGCCGACGAUCGGUAGCUGGUUUGAGAGGAUGAUCAGCAACACUGGGACUGAGACACGGCCCAG